CAGCAUGUUUCCAAAGGCUGUGUUGGGUUAUGGCCAUGGGAUCUCCAACUGCAUGCGAGAGCAACCCUGAGAGAAUUUGACAACACAGGUCGGUGUAAUACAUACCUGCAGCUGCUAGAGCAAAGGUCAAAAAUAU
ensembl:snoRNA